rnacentral:rRNA from 1 species
GUUAAACGGCCGCGGUACCCUAACCGUGCGAAGGUAGCGCAAUCACUUGUUCUUUAAAUGAGGACUAGUAUGAAUGGCAUCACGAGGGUUUCACUGUCUCCCCCUUUUAAUCAAUGAAACUGAUCUUCCCGUGAAGAAGCGGGAAUAAACAUAUAAGACGAGAAGACCCCAUGGAGCUUUAAACCCAGUAUCAACUACACUUACUACACCACACAAAAUUAGUAGACAUGACACCUGGUUUUCGGUUGGGGUGACCACGGAGCAAAACAAAACCUCCAUGAUGAAAGGAAUUUAUUCCUAAUCUAAGAGCCACAGCUCAAAGAAUCAACAAACUGACAUUAAUUGACCCAAAUAUUUUGAUCAACGAACCAAGUUACCCUGGGGAUAACAGCGCAAUCCAUUUCAAGAGCUCCUAUCGACAAAUGGGUUUACGACCUCGAUGUUGGAUCAGGGUAUCCCAGUGGUGCAGCCGCUACUAAAGGUUCGUUUGUUCAACGAUUAAAACCC